rnacentral:rRNA from 1 species
CGGGACGGGUGAGUAAUGUCUGGGAAACUGCCCGAUGGAGGGGGAUAACUACUGGAAACGGUAGCUAAUACCGCAUAAUGUCUACGGACCAAAGCGGGGGACCUCCGGGCCUCGCGCCAUCAGAUGAACCCAUAUGGGAUUAGCUAGUAGGUGAGGUAACGGCUUACCUAGGCGACGAUCCCUAGCUGGUCUGAGAGGAUGAUCAGCCACACUGGGACUGAGACACGGCCCAG